rnacentral:pre_miRNA from 1 species
UUUUCAGUGUAAGUAUAUCUCAUGCAGUAUUUGGGAUAUACUUAUGCUAAAG